rnacentral:lncRNA from 1 species
CGGAAAUAGCUUGUCUCUAAAGAGUCAGAUGCUUUGGCGCGACCACUUUUCUUCUUUGUGGGCCGGCGUUUGCGUGUUUUUCUUUUUACACAACCGGGAAUAUCGGAGUAACAUUGUCUUUCUCUGUUUCCCUAGAUUUGCCAGAAAAUCUGCAAAGUCGUAUAGCCACAGCACGCGCAAAAGAAGAAAUCUUGAACUGAAGUGAUCGGGGAACCAAGGAUCCUCCUUCCCGCGGACCAGGACAGGCCAGAACUUGAAAUGGCCCGGAAGAACGGAAAUGUGUCCAGGACACCUCAGUUGCCUCUUUUCUUCUAAUUUGAGAAAAGGAAGAGUAUCAAGAAGGAAUAAGUGAAGGAACAGAAAGGAGCCUCCUCAACCUGAUGAAUGGAAUCUGUAAAGAACCUACAAAUAAC